rnacentral:rRNA from 1 species
GAUGAACGCUGGCGGCGUGCCUAAUACAUGCAAGUCGAGCGAACGGACGAGAAGCUUGCUUCUCUGAUGUUAGCGGCGGACGGGUGAGUAACACGUGGAUAACCUACCUAUAAGACUGGGAUAACUUCGGGAAACCGUAGCUAAUACCGGAUAAUAUUUUGAACCGCAUGGUUCAAAAGUGAAAGACGGUCUUGCUGUCACUUAUAGAUGGAUCCGCGCUGCAUUAGCUAGUUGGUAAGGUAACGGCUUACCAAGGCAACGAUGCAUAGCCGACCGGAGAGGGGGAUCGGCCACACUGGAACUGAGACACGGUCCAGACUCCUACGGGAGGCAGCAGUAGGGAAUCUUCCGCAAUGGGCGAAAGCCUGACGGAGCAACGCCGCGUGAGUGAGGAAGGUCUUCGGAUCGUAAAACUCUGUUAUUAGGGAAGAACAUAUGUGUAAGUAACUGUGCACAUCGUGACGGUACCUAAUCAGAAAGCCACGGCUAACUACGUG